UGCCAGGGAGGGGAGGAUCACUUCCGGUGCGCCCCAGGGCAUCAUGGGGGAAGCCAGGCUGAGGGAAGGAGAGGCCGGAAGUGCCCCGCCCAGAGCAAGACCCGCCUGGAGGCGACAGUGGGACAUGGGCGGAGACCCAGAAGGCCAGCUUUGAAGAAAACCUGCAGAAAGGGAGAGUCACAAGUCAUUCCUAUACUACAGGAGACACAGAAAUGACAGAAGACCCUUGACAGCCUCAACAUUGCGCUUCUGUUCACUUUCAACCUCAUUUUCAAGCUCCCUCACCUGGAAGAGAACAAAGGAGUUUAACAAUUGGCUGUAACUAGCUGCGUGAACAGGCCAGGAAUUGAAUGAAGUGGUGGAGACCCACCC